rnacentral:rRNA from 1 species
UGGGGAAUAUUGCACAAUGGGGGAAACCCUGAUGCAGCGACCCCGCGUGGAGGAAGAAGGUCUUCGGAUUGUAAACUCCUGUUGUUGAGGAAGAUAAUGACGGUACUCAACAAGGAAGUGACGGCUAACUACGUGCCAGCAGCCGCGGUAAAACGUAGGUCACAAGCGUUGUCCGGAAUUACUGGGUGUAAAGGGAGCGCAGGCGGGCGAUCAAGUUGGAAGUGAAAUCCAUGGGCUCAACCCAUGAACUGCUUUCAAAACUGUUUUUCUUGAGUAGUGCAGAGGUAGGCGGAAUUCCCGGUGUAGCGGUGGAAUGCGUAGAUAUCGGGAGGAACACCAGUGGCGAAGGCGGCCUACUGGGCACCAACUGACGCUGAGGCUCGAAAGUGUGGGUAGCAAACAGGAUUAGAUACCCUGGUAGUCCACACCGUAAACGAUGAUUACUAGGUGUUGGAGGAUUGACCCCUUCAGUGCCGCAGUUAACACAAUAAGUAAUCCACCUGGGGAGUACGACCGCAAGGUUGAAACUCAAAGGAAUUGACGGGGGCCCGCACAAGCAGUGGAGUAUGUGGUUUAAUUCGACGCAACGCGAAGAACCUUACCAAGUCUUGACAUCCUGCGACGCACAUAGAAAUAUGUGUUUCCUUCGGGACGCAGAGACAGGUGGUGCAUGGUUGUCGUCAGCUCGUGUCGUGAGAUGUUGGGUUAAGUCCCGCAACGAGCGCAACCCUUAUGGUCAGUUACUACGCAAGAGGACUCUGGCCAGACUGCCGUUGACAAAACGGAGGAAGGUGGGGAUGACGUCAAAUCAUCAUGCCCUUUAUGACUUGGGCUACACACGUACUACAAUGGCAGUUACAAAGAGAAGCAAGACCGCGAGGUGGAGCAAAACUCAGAAACAACGUCCCAGUUCGGACUGCAGGCUGCAACUCGCCUGCACGAAGUCGGAAUUGCUAGUAAUCGUGGAUCAGCAUGCCACGGUGAAUACGUUCCC